CCCACUGCAACCUGGUUCUGAGGACCUAUAUUUUCACCAUGCACCGGGCCCUGACAUUCAGAACAAAUCUCGAGUUGUUUGUGGUGAACCAGCUCAUCCUUUCUAAAUGGCACAGCCACCCAGGAGAGGACCACACUGUAUGCUGUUGGAAAUGGCUGUAGGAAAAGCAGGCGGAGGCUGAAAAUAGGACUGGCCACAGACAGCAGAGAAAGUUGUCGAUCCUCUCACACUGACAAGUGUCUGAAGCCUUCUUUAGGACACCCACAAGACUUUUUAGAAAAUUAUAUUAAAAUCAGCUGUAAGGGUGCUGAUAUGCACAACACAGACACAUUACUGAACUGGUUUGUAAACGCAAUAAUGCCACAUUGUAUGUGCAUAUUGGACACGCGUGUAAAGCCACCAUACCAUAACAACAAACAGGUUUGAAUGGAAAGCAGCUGUAAGAACAAUCAUAUUGAAGUGAUGUUUAGCUGACAUGGCUCAACUAUCAACAUAAUAUCUUUAGUAUUUGUUUCUUUUAAAGAAAAGGAAUUUUGGUCGGAAUUUCUUUUAUUUCAUUAUUUCUUUUAUCAAGCAAGUUGGGUGUUUUUAUAUCCUAGUGGGGAAUCUAAACCUGAAUACACAAUAAUAGGGACUCACCAUCACGUGUGUGCCAAAGUUGAGGUCCCCACAGGUUUUUGAGGGUUAAGACUUGGUUGCUAGGGAUCAGGUUAGAAUUAUGUUUAGGUUAGGGUAAGGGGCAAGGGAAUGCAUUAGUUCAAUGAGUUGCCCCCAUGGGGAUCUAGAAACGUGUGUAUGUGUGUGCUCUGUUUAUAUUUUUCAGGUCAGUGGAGCUGUCUGAUUCUUGUGUUAUUGAUUCCUGGUUUCUUUAUGAUUGAUGCAUUGUUCACCAUAACAAAAAUAUUUUGUGUUUUAUAAAUGCUCUUAUAUUCCCUUAAUCCAUUAUGUAUUUUUAUUUGAUUGCAAUCAUUAGUGAAAAAGUCCCAUUGCUCCAUCAAAGCACUUUGGUUAGUGUUGGAUGUUUUUACUCUCAUUGGUGUGAAUUUGGUAGACAGAAAAAUUGGAACAUCUGUCAACAUAAUGCAAUACAGCUCAACAAAACCACAGAAUACAUCCUCCAAAAUGAUCACACAGUUGAAUCAACAUGUCUUUAACAGCAAAAUUUCAACAUGACUGUUGAAUUAGACUGUAUUAGUUUUAACUAGGUGUUCGUAUUAUAAUUUGUUCUAUAAUAACACACUACGCCCAUUUAUUUGAUGGAACUAAGAAAAACUGUUUCACCCUGAUGGUAGAAACAGUGUUUGUAGCUGGAAGUCUACACUGAUUAAGUCCACCCUGUGAAAUUGAAAGCUGAAAUGUCAGCCCUGUUGGCACUGUCAAAUAUACACUCUCAGAUAUUUGGACUUUUACAUUCUGUGUUGCCUUGAUAUCAACUUCUGUUUCUGUUGCUCUUCUUAAAAUGGUCUGUUUACAAUUACAUUAUUUAUACACUGUUUUUUCAAACACUUUCCUUUCAUUGAUCAGUGAGUUCACACUUGAUUAAAUAGCAUUUGCACCUCUUUCUUUUCUUCUUUUUUUUUUUUCAUAAUGCCUCACAUUUGAUUUGAAUACAAGUGUCUGUUAGCAGGUGUCAGCGAGUAAGCUACAUGGCAUGGUGUAAUUUUUAGCCUUGUGUAAAGCCGUAGCUAGUGGGAAUGUGGAGUAAUUGCAAAUGCAACAGUUGUA